rnacentral:rRNA from 1 species
CUACGGGUGGCUCCAGUGGGGAAUAUUGCACAAUGGGGGAAACCCUGAUGCAGCAACGCCGCGUGGAGGAUGACGCAUUUCGGUGUGUAAACUCCUUUUAUAUCCCAAGAUAAUGACGGUAGGAUAUGAAUAAGCACCGGCUAACUCCGUGCCAGCAGCCGCGGUAAUACGGAGGGUGCAAGCGUUACUCGGAAUCACUGGGCGUAAAGGGCGCGUAGGCGGGUUGUCAAGUCUUGAGUGAAAUCCAACGGCUCAACCGUUGAACUGCUUGAGAAACUGGCAGCCUAGAGUGAGGGAGAGGCAGAUGGAAUUGGUGGUGUAGGGGUAAAAUCCGUAGAGAUCACCAGGAAUACCCAUUGCGAAGGCGAUCUGCUGGAACUCUACUGACGCUGAGGCGCGAAAGCGUGGGAGCAAACAGGAUUAGAUACCCGGGUAGUC